AUUGAACGCUGGCGGCAUGCCUUACACAUGCAAGUCGAACGGCAGCACGGGAGUAAUCCUGGUGGCGAGUGGCGAACGGGUGAGUAAUAUAUCGGAACGUGCCCAGUCGUGGGGGAUAACGCAGCGAAAGCUGUGCUAAUACCGCAUACGAUCUCUGGAUGAAAGCGGGGGACCGUAAGGGCUCGCGCGAUUGGAGCGGCCGAUAUCAGAUUAGCUAGUUGGUGGGGUAAAGGCCCACCAAGGAGACGAUCUGUAGCUGGUCUGAGAGGACGACCAGCCACACUGGAACUGAGACACGGUCCAGACUCCUACGGGAGGCAGCAGUGGGGAAUUUUGGACAAUGGGCGCAAGCCUGAUCCAGCAAUGCCGCGCGCAGGAUGAAGGCCUUCGGGUUGUAAGCUGCUUUUGUACGGAACGAAACGGCGAGCUCUAAUAAAGUUUGCUAAUGACGGUACCGUAAGAAUAAGCACCGGCUAACUACGUGCCAGCCGCCGCGGUAA
rnacentral:rRNA from 1 species